rnacentral:lncRNA from 1 species
UACCACCUUGAUACCAGGAGCAUCUUGAGGUCAGCACAUUCCCCUAAAGGGUCUGUGUAGAAUGAGAGCAGCUGGAAACCACACAGAACAGGAUGCAUAAGAAAUAGGAAGUAGAAGCAUGGAAGGAGGGGAUGAUCCUCUGAAAACGAGAGACGUGUACUGGCCACAGCAAGCUUAGGAUGACGUCCAGAGUGAACGCACGGGGCUAGGAGCAAACAUUGGACUUGGUGAAUAAGGGAGGACAUGUGCAGAAAGCACCAUUCCUGGAAUGCAGUACACUGCAGCUGCUCCGAGGCAGCCAUUUGGGGCUGAGAAAGCAGCUCUCCACUGCUUCCUCCAAAGGCAGGAGCAGUCCAGUGGCGGGACUGCCCAUGAGUCUCCUCGUCAACAGACCCUGAGCCUCUGAUGUAAGAAGCCAGAUGUGAUGGAGAUAGGUAGGCUCUGCUUACUGCCUGUCACUCUGAGAGACUGGCCUUCUCUCAAGGGAGAGCUCGACGUCACCAUUGUUGGUGAGUUUCGUUUUAGUACACCAGGUGUAAAAAUAACCGCUCAUCCCAGACUGGAGGACUCGGUUUCUGGGUGCUCUUGAGAGUCAGCCUUCCUGAGUUCUCAAACAUAUUUAAUGGGAAGUUGGGAGGGGGAGAGUUAAUGACCAUGAGCACAAAUUCACUUUCAACUGCUGUUACCAUGACAAACUGUUACCAUGACAAUUUAAAAGUUAUUUUGAACCACCAAAAAGAGUCACAGUACUCAGAACUUGUGAAGCCUAGUCCCUCUCUAUGUCACAAUGAGAAGAUUAUUGGGCCAGAACUGGCUGGGGUCAGAUACGAGCAGAUGUCUGGCACCAGCAUCUUUUGGUCCAGAAGAGCGAUUGAGGACUCAGAGUCAGGAGCUUCCCUGAGUCUGAGGAAAGGGACAGGAGAAAUUAGGAGGGCUCCUUGGUUUCUGCUUGUGCUAGAACAUCCUGUAGCCACCAACCCAGAAGCCAUGGCUCAGCGUACAGAUGGAGUGCUGUGACGUCAGGGAAUCGCUUCCAAGAAAUUCAGAAGGAAAGAGGAGAACAUGAGUGUCACUGCAAGGGGACUGGAAAAGAGCUAAUGACCCUGAAGCUGGGUGAUGAGUAGUGGGAUCUAUUGUACUGGUUUUUUCUACUUUUGUGUUUCUACAAAAAGAGGCUUUUUAAAAAAAAUAAUGCUGUUAUGAGCUGAAUUGUGCCCCCCUUCCCAAAUUCAAAUGUUGAAGUCCUAACCCCCAGGACCUCAGAAUGUGACUGUAUUUGGAGACAGGGCUUUUAAAGAGGUAAUUAAGGUGAAACGAGGCCAUAGGGUGGGCCCUGAUCCAAUGUGACUGGUGUCUUUAGUAAGAGGAAAUUAGGACACAGACAUGUGCACACAGAGGAAACCUAUCUGAGAACACUGCCAGAUGGUGGGCACUCGUAAGCCAAGCAGAGAAGAUGCAGAAGAAA